UUAAAAAUAAGCUAAAUCCAAGCUUUUGGGCUCAUACCUCAAAUAUAAAGAAAAUCCUUUUUUUUAAA
rnacentral:tRNA from 1 species